UCCAUCGUGAGGUGGAAUUUGAAGGAAGCUGGAGGCAAAGUGCCGAGCUGAGGUACACGAAUCACAUUUGAGGCUUAACCAGGUGGAUGAGGUUGCCAUACAAACCGAAGUCCUAUAACUACCCGAACCCUACACGGUAAAUGCGGCGGUUACAUGGGAUGAAGGUUAUCGUU
rfam:Peptoclostridium acidaminophilum DSM 3953 plasmid EAL2_808p, complete sequence.